rnacentral:rRNA from 1 species
GUUGUAUGGUUAAGUGACUAAGCGUAGACGGUGGAUGCCUUGGCAGUCAGAGGCGAUGAAGGACGUGCUAACCUGCGAAAAGCGAUGGUGAGCUGGUAAGAAGCAUUUGAGCCAUCGAUGUCCGAAUGGGGAAACCCACCUGCAUAAGCAGGUAUCUUAGUGUGAAUACAUAGCGCUAAGAGGCGAACUCGGGGAACUGAAACAUCUAAGUACCCGAAGGAAAAGAAAUCAAUUGAGAUUCCGGCAGUAGCGGCGAGCGAACCCG